UACAGAGGGUGCAAGCGUUAAUCGGAAUUACUGGGCGUAAAGCGUGCGUAGACGGUUAUAUAAGUCGGGUGUGAAAGCCCCGGGCUCAACCUGGGAAUUGCAUUCGAGACUGUGUAGCUAGGGUGCGGAAGAGGGAAGCGGAAUUUCCGGUGUAGCGGUGAAAUGCGUAGAUAUCGGAAGGAACAUCAGUGGCGAAAGCGGCUUCCUGGUCCAGCACCGACGUUCAGGCACGAAAGCGUGGGGAGCAAACAGG
rnacentral:rRNA from 1 species